rnacentral:rRNA from 1 species
UACGUAGGGGGCUAGCGUUGUCCGGAAUCAUUGGGCGUAAAGAGCGUGCAGGCGGCUCGGUAAGUCCGCUGUGAAAGUCCAGGGCUCAACCCUGGAAUGCCAGUGGAAACUGUCGAGCUAGAGUCCGGAAGAGGCGAGUGGAAUUCCUGGUGUAGCGGUGAAAUGCGCAGAUAUCAGGAGGAACACCAAUGGCGAAGGCAGCUCGCUGGGACGGUACUGACGCUGAGACGCGAAAGCGUGGGGAGCAAACAGG